UUUUACACAUUCCUCCUGUUUCUUUUAAUCUGAGUUUCAAAGAGGAGACUCCAAAGCUCUGCUAGGGCUUUUGCCCCUCUGCGUCCAUCAACGUCGCUCGUUCCUUGGUCCUGCCCCUCCGCGGUAGCUCGCUCUCUGAUCCUCUCCCUGCGCCGUGGUCGUUCUCUGAUCUCUCCAUUCGCAGGAUUGCUCGUUCUCCCCUGUAUCGUGCUUGUUCUCUGAUCGUCGACGCCGCAACAAGCUGCCGCCGCCGCCACUACACUCGGGUCCACCACUUCAUUGUUUUCUGUCGCCUCUCUAUUCCUCUUCUUCGCCAGCGUCUCUGAUCUCUGUCCUUCUCCCUCCACCUCUCCCUCUGCAAUCUACUCCUUUAAGGGCAAUGAUUGUGAAGAUCUAAAAUACAAUACAUGGUGUCUUGUAUGAUGGGGACAUUGGGUUAUGUUGCACUGGAGUAGGCAUGCAUUGGAAUGCUGACUGAGAAGAGUGAUGUUUAUAGCCUUGGGAUACUUAUUAUGGAAAUAAUUACCGGAAGAAGUCCCGUUGAUUAUAGUAAAUCCCAAGGAGAGAUUAGAGGCUAUAACCAAUAAUAGUAUACAGUUUUGGUUAAUUUAAUUGAAUGGUUGAAAGCUAUGGUUGGCAAUAGAAAAUCAGAGGAACUCAUUGAUCCGAACCUUCCUGAAAAGCCAUCUUCAAAGGUUCUUAAGCUUUGCUCUGUUGGUUGCUCUUAAAUGUGUUGAUCCAGAUGCCACAAAGAGACCUAAAAUCGGACAAAUAAUCCACAUGCUUGAGGCCGACGAGAUCCUAUUCAGUGAUGAACGGAGGACUGGAGGGGAAUCGUUGCGAUCCCAUGGCAAUUAUCAUCAUGAGCAAAAGGACUCUAACAGAGAUAGAAAGCGAAUAGGUGAAGAGAUCACUGAUUGAAAUGAAGAUGAUAAUAGCAGUAAAAAUCUUGUCCAUCCCACUAGGUUGAGAUGAUAGUUGUUAAAUGGUAAAUGUAGCUAUGUAUUUAUUAUUUUUGGUUUUAGUAGUUUGCCUAUAUUAAUUUCUACCUCAAUCUGAACAAUAUGCAAUGAGUGUAUUUUUGCUGCAUAAUUUUUCCUCCCACCACAAUUUGGGAUUCAUUGUAUACUCAUUCAUUAUUACUAAAAAUCAAAA